rnacentral:rRNA from 1 species
AUUGAACGCUGGCGGCAUGCCUUACACAUGCAAGUCGAACGGCAGCACGGGAGCAAUCCUGGUGGCGAGUGGCGAACGGGUGAGUAAUACAUCGGAACGUGCCCAGUAGUGGGGGAUAACCCGGCGAAAGCCGGACUAAUACCGCAUACGACCUACGGGUGAAAGCGGGGGAUCGCAAGACCUCGCGCUAUCGGAGCGGCCGAUGUCAGAUUAGCUAGUUGGUGGGGUAAAGGCCUACCAAGGCGACGAUCUGUAGCUGGUCUGAGAGGACGACCAGCCACACUGGGACUGAGACACGGCCCAGACUCCUACGGGAGGCAGCAGUGGGGAAUUUUGGACAAUGGGCGCAAGCCUGAUCCAGCCAUGCCGCGUGCGGGAAGAAGGCCUCGGUUGUAA